GCUAACUGGUCCACGCAUGGCCAAUGCAUGAGGAAACUCAUCCUGGAACUCAUUUUCCUUAAAUUCUGGAUUUGUACAGUAAGGACUUCAACUGACCUUCUUCAGACUGAGGACUGUUCCCAGUGUAUGCAUCAAGUUACUGAGGCAAACAAAGACUGGACUUACUCAUUGAGUGCAAAACACACAACAAAGGCUGAAGGCACUUCAAACACUCGUGGUCCAAAGAUCGGGCAGAAAAAUUCAGAUGCAUCCUCACAAAAAUUAUGGCAGCAGCAAGUAAGAAGAUAAUGAUCCUCAGAAUCAGCACCCAAGACCAGUGGUCAGUCCAGCAGGAAAGAGAUAAAGGUGGCAUGGGACAAGUGCCACCCUGGCCUCUGGGGACCGUCACCCAGACACCAAGCAGGAAGACGAAGCUCAGGUCACGUUCGUCAUGACUGAACUCCAGGUCACCUGUGGUGCAGAGAAAGUGGCUGGCUCAGAUGUCCAGGCCUGUGAGUAGGAACAAUGAGGGGACUUUCUCUGAAGCUUGCAUUGCACUUAUCCGCAGCGGGGAAGGGGUUGCGGAAUGACGUCUCUCCUUGUGAACUCCAGCAGAGCAGUUUUCUUGUGUGUUCGUUUUCUAUUUUUCUUGUUACUGUUUUGUUUUCUAAUUUUACAAAUUUAAAAUGGUAUAUGACCAAGUUUACUCUUUUCUCCUUGGAGACUGAAUAAUUUUUCAAAUCUUGACUGACCGUCUUCUCUUUCUCAUGGACGAAUCGUCCCUUCCUGUGUUUAGAAGUGCAGUGCUGUGUUGAGCAUACGGACAUGACUGUGAGUCCCUGGACGUCUUCCGUUUCUCGUGGAGGAAUUGUCCCUUCCUGUGUUUAAAAGUGCAGUUCUGUGUUGAGCAGACAGACAUGACUGUGAGUCCCUGGCCGUCUUCUGUUUCUCGUGGAGGAAUUCUCUCUCCCUGUCUUUAGUACUGCAGUGCUGUAUUGAGCAGACAGACAUGGCUGUGAUUCUCUGGGCUUGUGCCCUGGCCCAGUCAUUGCCUAGGCAACUCCCUCCCCACGGGCACCUGGCCUCUCUCCACUUUACUUUCUGAACCUGUAAAAUGGGUAGGAGGAUGGAGGAUGGUAGGUCCUACCUCAUAGAGCUCGCGAGAGGACUGGUACAGAUGAAAGCACUCGGAACACUGGCUGGAAUAUGAUAGGUCCUCAUCCAAUGUUAAUUACCAUUAUAAUUUACAAGCAUCUUUUAAAAGUAUUUGUCAUAAUAACUUUUUAUGUGGAUGGAAAGAGUGAUAUAAAUUUUCACUGUCAUGAUGUGAACAGAACCUGGAGCACGCUUGGGUGGAGCCUGGAACUUUGGGUUAUUGAAGAGCCUGCUAGCACUAGUUCCAACAGCUGAGAUAGAGAAUCAGUCCAGGUGUCCAAUAAUACAUGAAUGGAUGAAGUGUCCAUGGAGAUACAUGAAUUGAAAAUGUAUAUACACAUACACUUUAAAAUUUGUGUAUACACAAUGGAAUACUAUUCAGCCAUAGAAAGAAUGAAAUCCUGUCAUUCAUGGCAAAAUGGUUGGAACUGGAGGACACUGUGUUCAGUAAAAUGAGCCAGGAACACAAAGUUAAAUGCCUCAUGUUCUCACUUAUUCGUGGAAGCUUAAAAAUGCUGAUCUCAUAGAAGUGAAAGGUAGAACAGAAGAUCCUAGAGGCUGGGAAGGAUUGGAGAAAGGGAGAGAUAAGGAGAGAUUUGUUAAAGAAUACAAAAUUACAGCUAGACAGGAGGAAUAAUUUCUAGUGUUCUAUACCACUGUAGGAUGACUACAGUUAACAAUAAUAUAUAGUUUUAAAUAGCUAGAGGGAGGAUAUUGACAAGGAAAUAAUAAGUAUUUGAGAUGAUGGAGAUGCAAAACGCCCUGAUCUGAUCACUGUAAAACAUAUGUAUUAAAAUAUCCCUGUUUACCCCCAUGAAGGUGUACAAUUAUUAUGUGUCCAUGAAACAUAAAUAAAUUUUUAAGACUCCAACAAAUGCUGAAGUAGGAAAUCUGUCUGUUUCAUGAGGUAAUUGACAUCAGGCCUCAGGAGAAGCAGGAACGCUCAGCAUGGUAGGCAGGGACCCUCACUGUUACAGUGUCCUCAUCACUCACGCUGCCCUGUUAGUGCCUGUGCGGUAGCUUCUCUUAACUGGUCAUCCCAGGAGCAGGCCAGACCCAGCAGAAAGCACUUCCUGUUCUUGCUCAUGGGUUUGCCUACCGCACAUGGCUGGGGAGAGCUGAGUGCAGCUCUUAAGUGAGUCCAUCUUCUUGGGUCACAAGGACAUUUCAGCUCCAGCUCAGAACACCCCCCAAGUGGGUGCUAAGAAUGCGGACUGUAAGAUCAGAAAGUGCAGGAAUCAUUAUGAGACGGUGAUAAGAAAUGUAAUUUUGAU